GGGGCUGACUGGCUUUGACAGCGUGUAGAGGUGGUGUGUAAGCAUGCAGAGCGAUGAUGCCCACGCUCUUUAAUCAGAGACAUCAAAAAUUUAAAUGGCGAAAACAACUACGCUCUCGCUGCCUAAUUGAAGUAUAGUAGAUUAGCUUUAUCCCCGCAACAGUUGCGGAGGACGAGACAUCGCCCGAUUGUCCUUUUUCCGAGACGGAUCGACAUGGCGGUGCAGUUAAAUCGGGAAUAGGCGAUGGCCUGCCUUGAGCCGGCGCUGAAAUCUUAAAGGCUAAGGCUGCGAUUGGUGGUCGCGAUCCUGUCACAGCCCUACAACCAAGUCGCGAAUAAGCAUGUAGAAAGCUCAUUAGUUCCACGUUUGGACGAGGGUUCAAUCCCCUCCAGCUCCACUU
rfam:Parabacteroides sp. YL27, complete genome.